rnacentral:rRNA from 1 species
UUUAAAUGUUAAAUAAAUUAUCAAAGUAGUAUUAGUUAAGAUCUUGAAAUUUAAAAAUUUUGGCGGUAUUUUAGUCUAUUUAGAGGAACCUGUUCUGUAAUUGAUAGUCCACGAUAAAUUAUACUUUAUUUAAUUAGUUUGUAUAUCAUCGUUAUUAAGUAUUUUAAAAGAAUAAAAAUAUUUAAUUUUUUAAAUUAAAUUAUAUUUCAGAUCAAGGUGCAAUUUAUAAUAAAGUAGAAAUGGGUUACAAUAAAUUUAUUUAUAUGGAUUUAUUAAUGAAAAUAAUAAUGAAGGUGGAUUUAAUAGUAAUAAAAUUUAUAUUGAUUUUAUGAUUUUAGCUCUAAAAUGUGU